rnacentral:lncRNA from 1 species
ACUGCAUUAACUUUGUUUGAAAUGAUAGGUUGCUGAGGCUCUAAUCUAGGAUUAGUCUUUUUCUUGCAGUCAGAAAAAAUGCUCCCUUACUUAGGGCCUUUUCAAACAGUUCAGCUCAGUAAUUGUUUAAUUACAAGCUGAGAAACUGACCUGUACUGAAAAGGCAGAAACUCUCGCUUUUCUUUCAGAAACUGUGGGAAGAAUAGGAGGAACAGGUCUAAUAAUUAAAAACUUGGAGACAACAGCUAAAAGAGAUGAUCAGAAAUCAGCAUUAAAGCAUGUAACGUGAUGGGAGCUCAUUUUGUCAAGUGGAAUACAAACAUGGCAGAAAAGGAAAACCUUCUCUGAACACUGAUUACUGCGCUGCAUUUUUGAACAUAUUAAUCCAGAAUAAAAGAGCUCUUCUGCCAAGAAGCAAGGUCUUCUUGCAGAAUGUGAUGAUACGCAGACCCUAACUAUGUAACUUCCAGAGGUCAAAGAGAAGAUCAGAAGUAGUCCAGAACAUCCAUAAUUGAUAAACCCUGUAUGAAGCAAAGUCAGAUCCUGACUUCCAACACCCAGAGAGCUCCUUAAUGAAAAAGUGAGUGCUGGUGUGAAUCACUUCCUGGUGUCCUGCGAGACAAGGAAGAAGACAAUGCUGUGUAUGUUAUCAUGAUCCCAGCACUGCAGAGACAUAGCUGGGGAAGGCAUGGCUGAACUUUUUCAAAAUUGACUCGGUUAUCUGUUUCAACACUAGGAGUGAAUCUGGCUUAAUGUGUAAACUCUGGUGAAAGCACAGCUACAAGAUGAUGAUGGGGAAGAUGGGCAAAUAUUUAAAGUGAUU